rnacentral:lncRNA from 1 species
UGAAAUCCUGAAAACAUCCCCUUCUAAGAUCUUUUUUCUCAUCUAAAAUUAUUUUCUAAAUUAUUAUACACUAGCUUUUAAAAUCUUUAGAGCUUUGCAUUUCAUAAUUAAAUUUUUAAUUCUCCUGGAAUUAGCUUUUGGUAUGUUGUGAGUUAUGAGUUUAAAUCUUCCUUAUAGAUAGCUAUUUUCCUAGCAUCAUUUAUUAAAAAGUCAGGUUUUUUCCUCACUGACCUGCAGUGCUACUUUAUUUCCCUCCAGAAAUCAAGUGUCCAUAUUUUCAUGGUUUUCUUCCUGGGCUCUCAUUUGUGAUCUAUUGGCCUACUUUGUUUUUCCCUGGGGUAAUUCUAUGCUAACUUGAGUGCUGUCAUUUUAUGAGUCUUCAUAUUCAGUAGAGCAGUUCUUCCCACCUCUUUUUGCUUUCUCAAGAAUGUCUUGAUACUUUACAUAUCUGUAUAAAUUUCAGAAUCAGCUUGUUGAGUUACACACACACACACACACACACUACUUACUGUGAUUUUGAUUGAGAUUUCAUUGCAGCCACAAAUCAAAUCUGGAGAGAAUCAAUAGUUUUGUAAAACUGAGCCUUCCAAUGGGUGGACAUGAAACCCUCCCAUGAGGCUACCAUGCUACAAGGAAGUCAAGCACAUGGGGAAACCACAUGUAGCUGUACCUGUCAGCAGUCCUAACUCAAGUCCUCCCAGCCCAGAGGGCGGGCAUGUGAGUGAACAAAUCCUCGGAUCAUUUCAGUUCCCAGGCUAGGGGUCUAAACUGUGUUGUAGCUGCCGGCCUAAGCCACAGCCACAGCAAUGCCAGAUCCAAGCUACAUCUGCAACCUACACCACAGCUCAUGGCAAUGCUGGAUCUUUAACCCACUGAGCGAGGCCAGGGAUCAAACCUGAAACCUCAUGAUUCCUGGUGGGAUUUGUUUCCACUGCACCAUGAUGGGAACUCCUGAUUAUUGUUUUAGACCUCGGAGUUUGGUUGUUGUGUAACAAUAAUAUAAUAGAUAAGUUUAAUUUCUCUCAAUAAACUUGUAUAAUUUUUCACUAAAUGUCUUACACAUGAUUGUUAGAUAAGUUCCUAAAUAUUUGAUAAUAUUAGAUAUUACUAUAAAUAACAUAUUUUACAUAUUUAUUGAUUAUGGGAUACAUUGUUUUAUUUAAUUUUUUAACAGCUUAAUUGAUUUUUAAAAAUUGAUUUUGUAGCCAGCAACCUUGCUAAGCUCUCCUAUUAGUUAAAAAAAAUCAUGUACAUAUGUUUUUGAUUUUCCAUGUAUAAAUUUUGUCAAUUUUGUCUCUUCCUUUCUAAUACAUGUAAAAUGGAGGACACAUAUUUACUUUUCUUGCAUUGCAGUUCUGCUAGGAUCUCCAAUACAAUGAGACAAGAAGUGGUAUUGGCCAAAAACCUUAUCCUAUUCCUGUUUUGAAAAGCCAGAAUUUUUAGAUGCAUCAUUUGAAAUGAUUUUCUCCCAUUCUGUAGGCUUAUGGUUUCCUUUGCUGUGUGAAAGCUUGUCAGUUUGAUUAGGUCCCAUUGUUUUAUUUUUGCUUUUAUUUCUGUUGCUUUGGGAGACUGACCUAAGAAAACAACAUAUAUAACUCAACAGCAAAACAGCAACAACCAAAUGGAAAAAUGGGCAAAAGACCUAAAUAGACUUUUCUGCAAAGAAGAUAUAUAGAUGGCCAAUAAGCACAUGGAAAAAUGCUCAACAUCACUGAUUAUUAGAGAAAUGCAAGUCAAAACUACAAUGAGGUACCACCUCACAUAGAAUGGCCAUCAUUAAUAAGUCCACAAAUAACAAAUGCUGGAGAGGGUAUGGAGAAACAGUAACCCUCCUACACCGUUGGUGGGAAUGUAAAUUGGUACAACCACUAUGAAAAACAGUAUGGAGGUACCUCAGAAACCUCUAUAUUUAUAGAACUGCCAUAUGAAGAAGCAAUCCCACUCUUGGGCAUAUAUGUGGACAGAACUUUCCUGGAAAAAGACACAUGCACCUGCACGUCCAUUGCAGUACUAUUCACAAUAGCCAAGACAUGGAAACAACCUAAAUGUCCAUCGACAGAUGAAUGGAUUAAGAAGAUGUAGUAUAUAGACAUAAUGGAAUACUACUCAGUCAUAAAAA